rnacentral:rRNA from 1 species
AGUGAACGCUGGCGGUAGGCCUAACACAUGCUACUCGAACGGCAGCACAGUAAGCGCUUUCUCUUACUGUUGGCGACUGGCGGCCGGGUUAGGCAUACAUCUGCAUCUACUUUUUCGUUGGGUAUUUCGUUGGGCAACUUACGCUACUACCUCAUACUUCCUACGGCUGUAUUCAUGGGUUCUUCGCACCUUGCGCGUUUUUUUGCGCCGAUUUCGGAUUAGCUAGUUGUCGUGGUAAAGGCACACCAAGCCGACGAUCCGUAGCUGGUCUGAGAGGAUGAUCAGCCAAACUGGAACUGAGACACGGUGCAGACUCCUACGGGAGGCAGCAGUGGGGAAUAUUGGACAAUGGGCGAAAGCCUGAUGGAGCAAGACCGCGUGGGUGAAGAAGGCCUUCGGGUUGUAAAGCCCUGUUGUUGGGAAAGAAAAGAAGAAGGAGAAUACCCCGCUGUUCUGACGGUACCCAAAGAAAAAGCAACGGCUAACUACGUG